AAAUUGUGAAACAUUACAAAAGCGUUCGAUUAUUCCUGUGCAAUUUCAAAUUAUUACUUCAUUUCUGACACUUUAAGGUAGUUAUACCAGCAAACAGAUGGCAUUUCGUUAUUCAUAGUCAUAUAAAAACACUUUUGUCAUUGUUAGUUAAAUCAAACGGUACAUAAUAUAAUCCGCAAGUACAUUACAGCGUUUACGACGACAGACGAGCUCACCACGAUUGUCAACUGCACGAUACAUAAAAAGCUACACAAACUGGAGUGCCAAAACUCACGUACUAAAAACUAUCUAACAUUCAUGUAAAACCUCAGAUAACGUGCAUUAAUCUAUCUUCAAUAACAUUUUAGCCUCUCAGACAAACGUCAUAAGCGACAGUAUUUACCGAUCAUAUAAAUGAAUAAAUUGAUCCUAUGAGUGGGGUGGGGUUAGUUGAUAAGAUUUACAGAACGAGUUGACGGAUGCGGGUACAAGUUAAUUAAGGUAGGAGUUGACUAGCUCCUCGUUGGCCGGUUUGUUUAUGACUGAUCAAGGAGAAUCUACUUAGUCUAAUAGCAUUGUUUAUAACCUGCAGAAAUAACCUCGAGUUUAUUAGUAAUCUCUUUUUCAAUUUUUGAAUAUUCACGAGCAAAUUAUUUUAGGCAAAGCAUAUAAAUUGUUAUUAAAGGUCUACAUUUUUAAACCAUUCGUCGUGUAGAUAGAAUGAUAUAAGAAAGAAAAGGGUAUGUUCCUUUACAUAAUUUAAGGACUCAAAAGUAAAUUAAUUGUUUGCUAGUAUAUGCAGAAUCUGAUAUGAAACACUUAUAUAUUUCUUAUCGAAAUUGUACACAUAUGUGUUUGCCAAUCGUUCUAGUUCUAUGUUAUAAAAUGGAACAAAUAGAGUAGUCUGUGUACACUAAUAUUGAGAUAAACAUGACAACUGAUAACAUCACGACCAGUUUGUGUACAAGUUAAGCUACUAUUUCGAAAACUCGUACCAGGUAGACUGACACUAAGGAAUUAAAUGCUUUUAAAUAUUCGCAUCGUCGUUAAGUACAAGAAUGCUUAGGAAAACAGUGACAGCAUGUCUGUUUCUUUUUGUGUCUGGAGUUUUUGUCGUAACAUCAAGCGGACCAGUAAUGCAUAGGAUCAUUGAAGAAGAGGUUACUUCUGGAGACAUUGAUUUACGAAGAUUUAUACUGACAGAAAAUGCGUAUGAAAGCAAGUAUAUUUUUGUACACUUUAGUACCUUUCUAUAUAGAGUAACAUAAAAAAGACAAAUGCAUGCCUUUCAAACAUUCAGUGGUAAUUUCAUGCCUGGUCCUUUGGAUUCUGCUCAAUGUUAAUUUACAAAAGAGUACCGCUUAAGUCGUAUUGCUAUGGGGCCCGAGUGUGUUGCAUAUUUCAUUACCUCUCGCAGUUUUUGGAAAAAUCAUCUUUGCUAUUGUUAUCACUGAUGACAUUUUAUAUUUUUUAAUGA